CAGUCGCCGCGGGAACACCAGCAGCCCAAGUGGUGGUCGCGUUUAUUGGGCCUAAAGCGCUCGUAGCCUGGCCGGUAAGUUCCCCGUGAAACCAGGUCGCCCAACGAUUCGGCUUGCGGGGAAUACUGUCGGUCUUGGGGCCGGGAGACGCCGAGGGUACUCCGGGGGUAGCGGUGAAAUGCUGUAAUCCUCGGGGGACUACCAGUGGCGGAGGCGCUCGGCGAUAACGGGCCUGACGGUGAGGGGCGAAAGCUGGGGGCGCGAACGGGAUUAGAUACCCCGUAGUCCCUGUCUCUUAUAC
rnacentral:rRNA from 1 species